rnacentral:rRNA from 1 species
GAUGAACGCUGGCGGCGUGCCUAAUACAUGCAAGUCGAGCGAACAGACGAGGAGCUUGCUCCUCUGACGUUAGCGGCGGACGGGUGAGUAACACGUGGAUAACCUACCUAUAAGACUGGGAUAACUUCGGGAAACCGGAGCUAAUACCGGAUAAUAUAUUGAACCGCAUGGUUCAAUAGUGAAAGACGGUUUUGCUGUCACUUAUAGAUGGAUCCGCGCCGCAUUAGCUAGUUGGUAAGGUAACGGCUUACCAAGGCAACGAUGCGUAGCCGACCUGAGAGGGUGAUAGGCCACACGGGAACUGAGACACGGUCCAGACUCCUACGGGAGGCAGCAGUAGGGAAUCUUCCGCAAUGGGCGAAAGCCUGACGGAGCAACGCCGCGUGAGUGAUGAAGGUCUUCGGACCGUAAAACUCUGUUAUUAGGGAAGAACAAAUGUGUAAGUAACUAUGCACGUCUUGACGGUACCUAAUCAGAAAGCCACGGCUAACUACGU